rnacentral:rRNA from 1 species
GACGAAUGCUGGCGGCGUGCUUAACACAUGCAAGUCGAACGGAAAGGCCCUGCUUUUGUGGGGUGCUCGAGUGGCGAACGGGUGAGUAACACGUGAGUAACCUGCCCUUGACUUUGGGAUAACUUCAGGAAACUGGGGCUAAUACCGGAUAGGAGCUCCUGCUGCAUGGUGGGGGUUGGAAAGUUUCGGCGGUUGGGGAUGGACUCGCGGCUUAUCAGCUUGUUGGUGGGGUAGUGGCUUACCAAGGCUUUGACGGGUAGCCGGCCUGAGAGGGUGACCGGCCACAUUGGGACUGAGAUACGGCCCAGACUCCUACGGGAGGCAGCAGUGGGGAAUAUUGCACAAUGGGCGGAAGCCUGAUGCAGCAACGCAGCGUGCGGGAUGACGGCCUUCGGGUUGUAAACCGCUUUCGCCUGUGACGAAGCGUGAGUGACGGUAAUGGGUAAAGAAGCACCGGCUAACUACGUG